rnacentral:rRNA from 1 species
UGGGGAAUUUUGGGCAAUGGGCGAAAGCCUGAUCCAGCAAUGCCGCGUGAGUGAUGAAGGCCUUAGGGUUGUAAAGCUCUUUUACCAGGGAUGAUAAUGACAAUACCUGGAGAAUAAGCUCCGGCUAACUCCGUGCCAGCAGCCGCGGUAAUACGUAGGGACCAAGCGUUGUUCGGAUUUACUGGGCGUAAAGGGCGCGUAGGCGGCAAUUCAAGUCAUCUGUGAAAUCUCCGGGCUUAACUCGGAACGGUCAGAUGAUACUGCUUUGCUAGAGUGCAGAAGGGGCAAUCGGAAUUCUUGGUGUAGCGGUGAAAUGCGUAGAUAUGUGGAGGAACACCGAUGGCGAAGGCAGCCCCCUGGGUCAAGAUUGACGCUCAUGCACGAAAGCGUGGGGAGCAAACAGGAUUAGAUACCCAGGUAGUCCCUGAGCGGGCUGGCAAGGCGCAU